rnacentral:tRNA from 3 species
GCGGUCGUGGCGGAAUGGCAGACGCGCUAGCUUGAGGGGCUAGUGGGAGUACUCCCGUGGAGGUUCGAGUCCUCUCGACCGCA